CACCUAGCAACACCUUAGCAACCACCCAGAUACCAUAGCAACACCUUAGCAACCGCCUAGCAACACCCUAGCAACCACCUAGCAACCACCUAGCAACACCUUAGCAACCACCCUGGAUACCAUAGCAACACCUUAGCAACCGCCUAGCAACACCCUAGCAACCACCUAGCAACACCUUAGCAACCACCCCGGAUAUCAUAGCAACACCUUAGCAACCGCCUAGCAACACCCUAGCAACCACCUAGCAACCACCUAGCAACACCUUAGCAACCACCCCGGAUACCAUAGCAACACCUUAGCAACCGCCUAGCAACACCCUAGCAACCACCUAGCAACCACCUAGCAACACUAUAGCAACCACCCCGGAUACCAUAGCAACACCUUAGCAACCGCCUAGCAACACCCUAGCAACCACCUAGCAACCACCUAGCAAAACCUUAGCAACCACCCCGGAUACCAUAGCAAAACCUUUGCAACCGCCUAGCAACACCCUAGCAACCACCUAGCAACACCUUAGCAACCACCCCGGAUACCAUAGCAACACCUUAGCAACCGGAUAGCAACACCUUAGCAACCACCUAGCAACCACCUAGCAACACCUUAGCAACCACCCCGGAUACCAUAGCAACACCUUAGCAACCGCCUAGCAACACCCUAGCAACCACCUAGCAACCACCUAGCAACACCUUAGCAACCACCCCGGAUACCAUAGCAACACCUUAGCAACCGCCUAGCAACACCUUAGCAACCACCUACCAACCACUUAGCAACACCUUAGGAACCACCCCGGAUACCAUAGCAACACCUUAGCAACCGCCUAGCAACCUCCUAGCAACCACCUAGCAACACCUUAGCAACCACCCCGGAUACCAUAGCAACACCCUAGCAACCACCUAGCAACACCUUAGCAACCACCCCGGAUACCAUAGCAACACCUUAGCAACACCAUAGCAGAUACCAGCCAGCACUGCAAUCACACUCGCAGUUUCUGUAGGAACUGCAAUCUAGUUAUUAUUAUUAUUCCACCUGUUUUUUGUCCGGUUAACUAGUGCCGCAGUUUUCGAAAUAUCGACUUCGUUCAAAAGAGAAAACGUGCGUCUAUAUCGGGAAUGGUGGGCUUGUAUACAGCUUUCCGAUCGGACUUACGUUUUUCGUAAAAACUUCGUAAGUACGCGUUUUUUUGCCCAUUGACAAUGAAUGGGCAGAACUUUGCACGCCCGUGGACGUCGCAAUUUUUGAAAUACGAAGAUGAAACCAAUUGAGGACCUGUAGAACUUAUUGAGCUCUUUCCGAAAAUAUGCGUUACGAAAAGUUACGACGUACGGAUUUCGUACGAAUGUCGUACGAAGUGGCCCCAUUGGAAUGAAUGGGGCCAAUCGGAGGACGGCAGCUAGAUCGAAGGACAGGUAGCUAGAACUCCAGUACUGUGAGUGUAUGGAGCAGCUAUGGGAUAAAACAGCAUUAGGUCAAAAGUUUGGACACCCCGGCCCCCCAGUACUGUGUGUAAUGGAGCCACGGGUCAAAAGUUUGGACACCCCGGCCCCCCAGUACUGUGUGUAAUGGAGCCACGGGUCAAAAGUUUGGACACCCCCGAACGGCCAGAGCAACCUAGCGUGCAUAGCUGAUUGAUGUAUUUGCACGUUGCGUAGCAACGUGCAAACACCAUUUAAUCAAAUUUAUGCAUAUAAAUCACCUAGCAACCACCUAGAAACACCAUAGCAACCACCCCGGAUACCAUAGCAACACCUUAGCAACCGCCUAGCAACACCAUAGCAACCAUCUAGCAACACCUUAGCAACCACCCCAGAUACCAUAGCAACACCUUAGCAACCCCCUAGCAACACCCUAGCAACCACCUAGCAACCACCUAGCAACACCUUAGCAACCACCCCGGAUACCAUAGCAACACCUUAGCAACCGCCUAGCAACACCCUAGCAACCACCUAGCAACCACCUAGCAACACCUUAGCAAACACCCCGGAUACCAUAGCAACACCUUAGCAACCGCCUAGCAACACCCUAGCAACCACCUAGCAACCACCUAGCAACACCUUAGCAACCACCCCGGAUACCAUAGCAACACCUUAGCAACCGCCUAGCAACACCCUAGCAACCACCUAGCAACCACCUAGCAACACCUUAGCAACCACCCCGGAUACCAUAGCAACACCUUAGCAACCGCCUAGCAACACCCUAGCAACCACCUAGCAACACCUUAGCAACCACCCCGGAUACCAUAGCAACACCUUAGCAACCGCCUAGCAACACCCUAGCAACCACCUAGCAACCACCUAGCAACACCUUAGCAACCACCCCGGAUACCAUAGCAACACCUUAGCAACCGCCUAGCAACACCCUAGCAACCACCUAGCAACACCUUAGCAACCACCCCGGAUACCAUAGCAACACCUUAGCAACCGCCUAGCAACACCCUAGCAACCACCUAGCAACACCUUAGCAACCACCCCGGAUACCAUAGCAACACCUUAGCAACCGCCUAGCAACACCUUAGCAACCACCUAGCAACACCUUAGCAACCACCCCGGAUACCAUAGCAACACCUUAGCAACCACCUAGCAACACCUUAGCAACCACCUAGCAACACCUUAGCAACCACCCCGGAUACCAUAGCAACACCUUAGCAACCGCCUAGCAACACCCUAGCAACCACCUAGCAACCACCUAGCAACACCUUAGCAACCACCCCGGAUACCAUAGCAACACCCUAGCAACCACCUAGCAACACCUUAGCAACCACCCCGGAUACCAUAGCAACACCUUAGCAACCGCCUAGCAACACCUUAGCAACCACCUAGCAACCACCUAGCAACACCUUAGCAACCACCCCGGAUACCAUAGCAACACCUUAGCAACCGCCUAGCAACACCUUAGCAACCACCUAGCAACCACCUAGCAACACCUUAGCAACCACCCUGGAUACCAUAGCAACACCUUAGCAACCGCCUAGCAACACCUUAGCAACCACCUAGCAACACCUUAGCAACCACCCCAGAUACCAUAGCAACACCUAAGCAACCGCCUAGCAACACCUUAGCAACCACCUAGCAACCACUUAGCAACACCUUAGCAACCACCCCGGAUACCAUAGCCACACCUUAGCAACCACUUAGCAACACCUUAGCAACACCAUAGCAGAUACCAGCCAGCACUGCAAUCACACUCGCAGUUUCUGUAGGAACUGCAAUCUAGUUAUUAUUAUUAUUCCACCUGUUUUUUGUCCGGUUAACUAGUGCCGCAGUUUUCGAAAUAUCGACUUCGUUCAAAAGAGAAAACGUGCGUCCAUAUCGGGAAUGGUGGGCUUGUAUACAGCUUUCCGAUCGGACUUACGUUUUUCGUAAAAACUUCGUAAGUACGCGUUUUUUUGACCAUUGAAAAUGAAUGGGCAGAACUUUGCACGCCCGUGGACGUCGCAAUUUUUGAAAUACGAAUAUGAAACCAAUUGAGGACCUGUAGAACUUAUUGAGCUCUUUCCGAAAAUAUGCGUUACGAAAAGUUACGACGUACGGAUUUCGUACGAAUGUCGUACGAAGUGGCCCCAUUGGAAUGAAUGGGGCCAAUCGGAGGACGGCAGCUAGAUCGAAGGACAGGUAGCUAGAACUCCAGUACUGUGAGUGUAUGGAGCAGCUAUGGGAUAAAACAGCAUUAGGUCAAAAGUUUGGACACCCCGGCCCCCCAGUACUGUGUGUAAUGGAGCCACGGGUCAAAAGUUUGGACACCUCGGCCCCCCAGUACUGUGUGUAAUGGAGCUAUCGGUCAAAAGUUUGGACACCCCAGAGCCCCAGUACUGUGUGUAAUGGAGCCACGGGUCAAAAGUUUGGACACCCCAGAGCCCCAGUACUGUGUGUAAUGGACCCACGGGUCAAAAGUUUGGACACCCCAGAG